AGUGAACGCUGGCGGUAGGCCUAACACAUGCAAGUCGAACGGCAGCACAGUAAGAGCUUGCUCUUACGGGUGGCGAGUGGCGGACGGGUGAGGUAUACAUCGGAAUCUACUUUUUCGUGGGGGAUAACGUAGGGAAACUUACGCUAAUACCGCAUACGACCUACGGGUGAAAGCAGGGGUUCUUCUGACCUUGCGCGAUUGAAUGAGCCGAUGUCGGCUUAGCUAGUUGGCGGGGUAAAGGCCCACCCAAGCGACGAUCCGUAGCUGGUAUGAGAGGAUGGACAGCCAGACUGAAGCUGAGACUGAGUCGUGACUCCUACGGGAGGCAGCAGUGGGGAAUAUUAGACGAUGGACGCACGCCUGAUACAGCCAUACCGCGUGGGUGAAGAACGCCUUCGGGUUCUAAAGCCCUUUUGUUGGGAGAGAUAAGAAGCAGUUUAACCCCCCACUGUAAUGACGGUACCCAAAGAAUAAGCACCGGCUAACUUCGUG
rnacentral:rRNA from 1 species